UGCCAGUUGGUUUCUUUCACAUGCUAAUGCU
rnacentral:piRNA from 1 species